UACGUAGGGUGCAAGCGUUAAUCGGAAUUACUGGGCGUAAAGCGUGCGCAGGCGGUUUUGUAAGACAGAUGUGAAAUGCCCGGGCUCAACCUGGGAACUGCAUUUGUGACUGCAAGGCUAGAGUGUGUCAGAGGGGGGGUAGAAUUCCACGUGUAGCAGUGAAAUGCGUAGAUAUGUGGAGGAAUACCGAUGGGCGAAGGCAGCCCCCCUGGGAUAACACUGACGCUCAUGCACGAAAGCGUGGGGAGCAAACG
rnacentral:rRNA from 1 species